CCUUGAAUUAGGUAAACCCUUUCCAUCUCUCUCUCUCUCUCUCUCUCACAUCUGACCUCCUAUCGUCACAUCGCCUCCGAAGACGACCCUUUGCUCAUGUUCUUCCUCAUCGUCGUUAUCUUUGGUCGCUGUUGAUCUGGAAAUUUGAAUCGAUUUCUCGCAUGGAUCUUAUGAGUAUCAUCAGGAAACGCUUGAUAAUCUCCAAACUGACAUGGAUAACACCGGUAUUCUCUUUGCAGUUACGCUCGAUACCAAAAAAACCAAAUCGCUAGAUUUAAAGGAAGUCGGUAAUAUGAUUUAUUGCCCUAAAACUGCAACUGUACGGCCAUGGGAUGCCCGCUUCUCAUAUAACCUCAUUUAUUUCCAGCUCCACCUCAGGUUUUGCCAUUACUUAUCCAAUUUAUUUCCAUAGAACACUAUAAUCUCACAUGUUGUGUACAUAUUUGUUUCUCGUUUUGGGUUUCAUUAUAAUCUAAUUUAAUUGACAUGCAUUAGCCCAAAAAUAAUGUUCCUGUGUUAAUGUGCUGAAUUUUAAUAGGCAGUGGAUUGCUCUCCUGUGAGUUCAGUAGCUGCAAACAAAGCUUCUUUUGUAAAUACAUCAACUUCUGGCAUGCAACUAUGCAAGUGAAG